rnacentral:lncRNA from 1 species
UCUCAUGUGGUAGGCGAGUGCUCUACCUCUGACCCCAACUUUCAUUUUCUUAAUAGGGGAUGUAGCCUUUUGAAGUAAAUGGUUUUGAGACUUGAAAAAAGCAAAGGGUUUAGAAUGAUUACACUAGUGAAUUUUGUGUGAAUCUAAACAGGAGAAACAUAGUACUACAUUUAUUUUUUAAAUCUAGUUGAAUGCUCUGGUGUACUAUGUAAUGACCAUAAAGUACUGGAGAUAAGACAGUGUACAAAACAGUCAAAGUGCUUUACCUCAUGGUAAAGUGUAUAUGUAUAGAAUAUAGUGUACCUUAAUAGUGGGCACAACCAGUGUCAUUAUUAUUUCCUCACUGUUUGAGAAUUUGAGGGUAGAAGCAACAAAGCAGGUAGUGGGCUUAUCUAGAGUUAUCAAAAUAGGCAAAUAGAAGAGAAAGUUAAUGAAGCUAGCAAGAUAUUUUUAGAAUGCAUUUACUUGCAUUUGGGUUUGGGUAAGGAAGCCAGAUUAAUAUAUUGAGAGAGAAAAAAAGAUCAAGGGACUAGAAAGCAUUUGGGGGAGAGCCAAGAGCAAGGUUAGCAGAAAUGAGGCAGUGAGAAAAAAUAUAAUGCU